rnacentral:rRNA from 1 species
CAGUAGCCGCGGGAACACGUAGGUGGCAAGCGUUGUCCGGAAUUAUUGGGCGUAAAGGGCUCGCAGGCGGUUUCUUAAGUCUGAUGUGAAAGCCCCCGGCUCAACCGGGGAGGGUCAUUGGAAACUGGGAAACUUGAGUGCAGAAGAGGAGAGUGGAAUUCCACGUGUAGCGGUGAAAUGCGUAGAGAUGUGGAGGAACACCAGUGGCGAAGGCGACUCUCUGGUCUGUAACUGACGCUGAGGAGCGAAAGCGUGGGGAGCGAACAGGAUUAGAUACCCGCGUAGUCCCUGUCUCUUAUAC